rnacentral:rRNA from 1 species
UACAGAGGGUGCAAGCGUUAUUCGGAAUUACUGGGCGUAAAGAGCGUGUAGGCGGCUUGAUAAGUUUGAUGUGAAAUCCCUGGGCUCAACCCAGGAAGUGCAUUGAAUACUGUCGAGCUAGAGUGCAGGAGGGGAGAGCGGAAUUCCAGGUGUAGAGGUGAAAUUCGUAGAUAUCUGGAGGAACAACGGUGGCGAAGGCGGCUCUCUGGACUGUUACUGACGCUAAGGCGCGAAAGCGUGGGGAGCAAACAGG